UUGCCAGCAAGUGUAUUUUUUUCUGUUAAUCAUGCCAGAAUGCUAGGAGUCCCAGGCAGCCUUACUAGGUUGGAGAAAUCCACUGAUAAAAGGCAUGGGAGAACUUCUCAUGUCAAACUGUAUACAAACCAGGGCUGUGCUUGGGAUCCUUGGUCUGUUUUGAUGGCAAAAGCUGUUAGGAUCACAUCCAGCUAUUGGACUGGUGGUUGGGCACCCUCCUCUGGUGAGCAGCACUUCCCAUCUCUGCUGGCCCUGAGCCCAGGAGGGAGCUGGGCCACCCAGCAAGUACCUCUUCCCCAGCCCACCAGAGCUGGAGGUCUCCCUUCAGCCUCUCUAGGGGUCUCUGCUUGUGCAGUCUCUGCCCCCAGCUCAUGGCCAUCCUCUCUGGGCCUACUCUUUGACUCAGCUGACACUCAUUUGGCUGUAGUCCUCCUUGGGCUUUACUGCCCAAAGUUUGCAGUUUGGGAAAGAAAGUGUGUUUUCUUACAUCAGGCACUUGUGAACGUGAACCUUUGUUUGUGUCUAAAAUGGAAUCAGCAAACUUGGAAGCUAAAUGCGGUAGCAUGCAAACUCUGACCACAUCACCGGUGUGAAAUUGCUGAUUAACCUUUUGACUCUGACAAUUGGGACUUCUCUCAACACCAACUGACAGGCUGUCUCUGACAGAAGAAUACAGUUCAUCAAAAGUGUCUGCAGGUUGUCAAACUCGCCUCAUACUUUCAAGACAAAGUUAGAAGUUUAAAUAAUAAUUUCCUUGCAGCGCUUGCAUAAUGCUGGUGACAAAGUUUCUGUGAAGUUGUGUGUCUGCAGGAACUGCUCUGGUCACAGGGCACUUCAACAGGAGAAGUGAUCACACAAGAAACAGUAAACUGCUCUUCAAAGGCAAUAUUCUGAUAUGACAACAGACAUAGAUAAUGCUCGUCAUGAUGGAGCUGCUUGAUACAGAGAAAAACAUGUUGUAACUGCCUUCACCGUGAAAAGGGUUUAAAAAUGUUGCCUGACAACUCCACAAAAAACAGAGCUGCUAUUUCAGUUAAAGGCCAGUGGAUUGUAUUUUUCACGUCAGUUUUCACUAACCUCAAACAUCACUGUUAUGACAGACUGUCAUCCAACCAAACCAGCAGUGUGGUGCCAUUCAAGCAAGCAGGAAGAAAGCAAACAUGAAGGAAACUUAAAAGUCCAAUUAGUUCAUCCAAAUGAUCGUGAAAUUCCUGAGAAAGUUAUUACUUUCAAGUCACAGUAACAGAGUAAUUUCCAGUUACCCCCAGUGAAGAGAUUCCUACCCUUCCUGGCAGGCAGUUGUUGAGUUUUAAGGAGCUUCAAAUAACUUUACAGAUUGAAAUUUCUGAUCUACCAAAAUCAGACUGAAAGACACGUGGAAGUACAGAAUCUCCCCAAGGAGCUCAGCCAGAGGGAUGCAUGAGUCCACAGCUUUGUGACAACCAUGCUACCAGGACCCAUGAUGUUGCUUUUAAAGAGGACCUCAAAGACUUUGAGAAGUAAAACAGAAGUUUCCAUCUUCAUGGUUCAGAUUCUUCCUUUAGAGGAGUUCCUGCAGCUACAGGACUAGGAGACAGGAAAGAAGACAAGCUGACUUUCUCUGCAGAAUUUUUUGAAGUGAAUUCUGAUUGAAAAGAUGUGGUGGUGAUUUAACAAAAACAUAUUAUUAUAAGACAUGACGUAUGUUCAGAAGCAUAAAUGAUGGCAUUAUAAAAGUGUACCUCUGCAUUAGUUUAAAGCAGUUCAGUUGCUACUUCUAUCUGCUGUUUUCAAACAGCACCAAACUGUGCUGUCCCAUCCUCUAAUCUGAACAUUUAUUAUGGUGACUAGCGAAUAGUGGCAACACGUUAAUACAAGCUCUGUAAAAGCAUCUGUGAAGAAAAUAUUCUUUUACUCUGGAGGUUUUAGCUGGUUCCUGGGCACCCUUCUGCUUGGUCCAGCUCCGGCCGGGGAUGCAGAAACGAAGAAGGCCCACAGGUGGCGAUGUGGUUAAAGUACACCUGGGCUGUGAUUGCCGAGACUGGAUUUACCAGUCGGCCUGUCAGAGGGAAGUCGGUCUGCUUUUUAGCACCAGCGCUUUCAUUUGCAAGCAGAUACUCCCGGCUGAAGUUUCAUAUACCUGUGUCAGGAUGUUGCUUCUACGCUAGACUUGAACAGGAACAGGUUCAAAAUAUUAUGUUGCCUUGGAUGACUAAGAGACAGUGGCAGCGCACAAACGCAUCACUCAGUCACACUGCAGCCGCUGGGUACGUACUUGAUAUCAGCAGUGGCAGUGUCCCCGCAGUGUGCAGCGACCCACCCGCACGCAGGGCUGCCCUCUCCCGUGGCACGCAGCAAUUUUGGCCUGUGUGUACCUGCCACCGCUGCCUGCCUGCUGCUGCAGUUGCGGCGGUGUCGGACCAGGCAGCCUGACUGUCCUCACGGUGUGGCUGCUGCUUACGCCAGUGACCUAGAAUCGAGAAACUAGCCUUGUGAAGUUUGCAUCUUGUUUAACAGAUCCUGGAAAUGGGUGAUUUGUCUGCCCCUUUGGCUGGAACCGUGGAGCCCAUUUGGGUGUACUUGUUAGGCAGCGCCAGAUGAGAGCCUGGUCCCACAGCCAGGCCAGCACCCGUGCUUGGGGGAGAGCCGUUCGCCAGGACAACAC